rnacentral:tRNA from 1 species
GCCGAGGUGGUGAAAUUGGCAGACACGCUGGACUCAAAAUCCAGUGGGGGCAACCCCGUGUGGGUUCGAGUCCCACCCUCGGCA